rnacentral:lncRNA from 1 species
UAUUGACUGAGGACGAAGUCCGAGGUCGAUAUACUUCUUUGGGUCGAUAUAUCCUGUAUUGACCUCAUACAAAGGCUAUAUUUGUUAUAUUAUUAAUUUCUGACCAUAUUUGUACAAAAAUGUAUCAAAAUCGUCAUUUAGGUUUGUUGGAAUUUUAAAGAUAUGAUGAUUGUCUCCUUGACAAUAACAACAUAUUAGAUGUUAUUUCAUUUACUUUUUUUUUGGACAUCUUAUGUAUUUGAAUAUUUUUUUCGUCAAAUAAUCGAUCACAGAUAUCAUGUGUUUCAAAACGUUAAACAAUAUCCUAAAAUUCAUUACAUGACGUCACAAAGUAUAUUGGUUAUUAGAUAUUCUAAAAAUAACCGUGCAAUAUGCUUUUUGCAGGUCAAUAUGCGUUUUGCUAUCCGCCG